rnacentral:rRNA from 1 species
AACGAACGCUGGCGGCAGGCUUAACACAUGCCAGUCGAACGCCCCGCACGGGGUUUGGCGGACUGGUGGGUAGCGCGUGGGGACAUACCCUCGUCUAUGACCUAGCCCUGGGAAACUGGUAUCAAUACCGAAUACGCCCUAAGGCGGGAAGAGUGGUCGGGUGGGGAUAGGCUCGCGGCGGAUUUGCUUGUGGUGGGGGUAGAGGCCUACCAUGGCGACGAUUGGUUGCUGGUCUGAGAGGAUGAUCGGCUACACUGGGACGGAGAUACGGCACAGACUCCAAUGGGAGGCAGCAGUGGGGAAGAGUGUAUAAUAGGCGGAAGGCUGAUGUAGCAACGCCGCGUGGGGGAUGACGGGCUGCGGGUUGGAUACUGCUGCCGUUUGUGACGUAGAGUUAGUGACGGUAAUGGGUAAAGAAGCCCCGGCUAACUACGUG